UACAGAGGUCCCAAGCGUUGUUCGGAAUUACUGGGCGUAAAGGGCUCGUAGGCGGCCAACUAAGUCGGAUGUGAAAUCCCCAGGCUUAACCUGGGAACUGCAUCCGAUACUGGAUGGCUUGAAUCCGGGAGAGGGAUGCAGAAUUCCAGGUGUAGCGGUGAAAUGCGUAGAUAUCUGGAGGAAUACCGGUGGCGAAGGCGGCAUCCUGGACCGGCAUUGACGCUGAGUGAGCGAAAGCUAGGGGAGCAAACGGG
rnacentral:rRNA from 1 species